rnacentral:rRNA from 1 species
UGUCGGAUUAGCUGGUUGGUGAGGUAAAGGCUCACCAAGGCGACGAUCCGUAGCUGGUCUGAGAGGAUGAUCAGCCACAUCGGGACUGAGACACGGCCCGAACUNCUACGGGAGGCAGCAGUGGGGAAUAUUGGACAAUGGGGGGAACCCUGAUCCAGCCAUGCCGCGUGUGUGAAGAAGGCCCUCGGGUUGUAAAGCACUUCUCAGUGAGGAAGAACGCCUGGUGGUUAAUACCCAUCAGGAAAGACAUCACUCACAGAAGAAGCACCGGCUAACUCCGUGCCAGCAGCCGCGGUAAUACGGAGGGUGCAAGCGUUAAUCGGAAUUACUGGGCGUAAAGCGCGCGUAGGUGGCUUGAUAAGCCGGUUGUGAAAGCCCCGGGCUCAACCUGGGAACGGCAUCCGGAACUGUCAAGCUAGAGUGCAGGAGAGGAAGGUAGAAUUCCCGGUGUAGCGGUGAAAUGCGUAGAGAUCGGGAGGAAUACCAGUGGCGAAGGCGGCCUUCUGGACUGACACUGACACUGAGGUGCGAAAGCGUGGGUAGCAAACAGGAUUAGAUACCCUGGUAGUCCACGCCGUAAACGAUGUCGACCAGCCGUUGGGUGCCUAGCGCACUUUGUGGCGAAGUUAACGCGAUAAGUCGACCGCCUGGGGAGUACGGCCGCAAGGUUAAAACUCAAAUGAAUUGACGGGGGCCCGCACAAGCGGUGGAGCAUGUGGUUUAAUUCGAUGCAACGCGAAGAACCUUACCUACUCUUGACAUCCUGCGAAUUUGGUAGAGAUACCUUAGUGCCUUCGGGAACGCAGAGACAGGUGCUGCAUGGCUGUCGUCAGCUCGUGUUGUGAAAUGUUGGGUUAAGUCCCGUAACGAGCGCAACCCUUGUCCUUAUUUGCCAGCGCGUAAUGGCGGGAACUCUAAGGAGACUGCCGGUGACAAACCGGAGGAAGGUGGGGACGACGUCAAGUCAUCAUGGCCCUUACGAGUAGGGCUACACACGUGCUACAAUGGUCGGUACAAAGGGUUGCCAACUCGCGAGAGUGAGCCAAUCCCGAAAAGCCGAUCUCAGUCCGGAUCGGAGUCUGCAACUCGACUCCGUGAAGUCGGAAUCGCUAGUAAUCGUGGAUCAGA